UACGGGGGGGAGCAAGCGUUGUUCGGAUUUACUGGGCGUAAAGGGCGCGUAGGCGGUCAGCACAAGUCAGUUGUGAAAUCUCCGGGCUUAACUCGGAAAGGUCAACUGAUACUGUGCGACUAGAGUGCGGAAGGGGCAACUGGAAUUCUCGGUGUAGCAGUGAAAUGCGUAGAUAUCGUAAGGAAGACCAGUGGCGAAGGCGAAAUCUCUGGACAGUUACUGACACUG
rnacentral:rRNA from 1 species